AUUGAACGCUGGCGGCAGGCCUAACACAUGCAAGUCGAGCGAGCGGCGGACGGGUGAGUAAUGUAUGGGGACUGCCCGCUAGAGGGGGAUAACUUCUGGAAACGGUAGCUAAUACCGCAUACUAUCGGAUAACCCAUAUGGGAUGAGCUAGUAGGUGGGGUAAUGGCUCACCUGGGCGACGAUCCCUAGCUGGUCUGAGAGGAUGAUCAGCCACACGGGUACGGAGACACGGCACAUACUCCUGCGGAGGCAGCAGAGGCGAAUAGUGCACAGUGGGCGCAAGCCUGAUGCAGCGAUGCCGCGGGUAUUAAGGAGGCCCUAGGGUGGUAAAGUACUUUCAGUCGGGAGACGUUACCGACAGAAGAAGCACCGGCUAACUCCGUGCCAGCAGCCGCGGUAAUAC
rnacentral:rRNA from 1 species